UGGUCUUCCCGUUCGUCAGAUAGCCGCUUCUUCUAGUGCAGCGCCAGGUGCAAACAGGCAAAGAGGAACACCGCAUCCCCGAGGCACCAUGGUGAAACCGAAGGUCGGAAUAAACGGCUUUGGUCGAAUUGGGCGCCUGGUCUGCAGAGCUGCUUUUAACUCUGGCAAGGUGGAUAUUGUCGCCAUCAAUGACCCCUUCAUUGACCUCAACUACAUGGU